rnacentral:rRNA from 1 species
CGGAGCUUGCUCCACCGAAAGAAAAAGAGUGGCGAACGGGUGAGUAACACGUGGGUAACCUGCCCAUCAGAAGGGGAUAACACUUGGAAACAGGUGCUAAUACCGUAUAACACUAUUUUCCGCAUGGAAGAAAGUUGAAAGGCGCUUUUGCGUCACUGAUGGAUGGACCCGCGGUGCAUUAGCUAGUUGGUGAGGUAACGGCUCACCAAGGCAACGAUGCAUAGCCGACCUGAGAGGGUGAUCGGCCACACUGGGACUGAGACACGGCCCAGACUCCUACGGGAGGCAGCAGUAGGGAAUCUUCGGCAAUGGACGAAAGUCUGACCGAGCAACGCCGCGUGAGUGAAGAAGGUUUUCGGAUCGUAAAACUCUGUUGUUAGAGAAGAACAAGGAUGAGAGUAAAAUGUUCAUCCCUUGACGGUAUCUAACCAGAAAGCCACGGCUAACUACGUGCCAGCAGCCGCGGUAAUACGUAGGUGGCAAGCGUUGUCCGGAUUUAUUGGGCGUAAAGCGAGCGCAGGCGGUUUCUUAAGUCUGAUGUGAAAGCCCCCGGCUCAACCGGGGAGGGUCAUUGGAAACUGGGAGACUUGAGUGCAGAAGAGGAGAGUGGAAUUCCAUGUGUAGCGGUGAAAUGCGUAGAUAUAUGGAGGA